rnacentral:rRNA from 1 species
UACGUAGGGGGCAAGCGUUGUCCGGAUUUAUUGGGCGUAAAGAGCGUGUAGGCGGCCUUACAGGUCAGCUGUGAAAACUCGAGGCUCAACCUCGAGACGUCGGUUGAAACCGUAUGGCUAGAGUCCGGAAGAGGAGAGUGGAAUUUCCGGUGUAGCGGUGAAAUGCGUAGAGAUCAUGAGGAAGACCAGUGGCGAAGGCGGGUCUCUGGACAGUUCCUGACACUGAGACACGAAGGCCAGGGGAGCAAACGGG